rnacentral:rRNA from 1 species
UGAUAAUAAUUUAAGGUCUAAUCUGCUCAAUGAGGAGUUAAAUAGCCGCAGUAUUUUGACUGUGCAAAGGUAGCAUGAUAAUUAGUUUCUUAAUUAGGAACUUGUAUGAAUGAUUGGACAAGAAAAUUUCUGUCUCUUUUUAAUUUUUUGUGAAUUUUAUUUUUAAGUUAAAAUGCUUAAAUGUUUAUAAAAGACGAGAAGACCCCAUAGAGUUUUAUUUAAAUUGGUUGGGGUGACUAAAAGAUUUAAUUAACUCUUUUAAUAAAAAUCAUUGAUUUAUGAAUAAUGAUUCUAAUUUUUUUAAAUUUAAAUUAAAUUACCUUGGGGAUAACAGCGUAAUUUCUUUUUAGAGUUCUUAUCAAAUAAGAAGAUUGCGACCUCGAUGUUGGAUUAAAAUUUAUUUUAGGUGUAGAAGCUUAAGGAUUAAGUCUGUUC